rnacentral:rRNA from 1 species
AAACGACUCUCGGCAACGGAUAUCCCGGCUCUCGCAUCGAUGAAGAACGUAGCGAAAUGCGAUACUUGGUGUGAAUUGCAGAAUCCCGUGAACCAUUGAGUCUUUGAACGCAAGUUGCGCCCGAAGCCACUAGGCCGAGGGCACGUCUGCUUGGGUGUCACGC